rnacentral:lncRNA from 1 species
UGAUAAAUUCGAAAAUUGUUUUAAGAAGAACAAAGGUUGGAAAGCAAGAAUUGCCUCUCAAAUUAAUUCUCUCAAUAAUAAUGUCAAAUGGUGUUCUUACAAUCAAUAUGAUAAAGUAUUUAUAACAACCCCAAAAGUAUUGUCUUGGACGAAAAUUAUGCUCCAAAUACUGAAAAAAAAAAUACUAAUUAGAAUCAAAUUUUAUGGAAAGUAGAAAAGUUACCAAAAAUUGAAAACGUGUCCCAAAUUUUGUACUACGCAACCGCAUAGUGUAUUGGCAUGUGGUAGCAUAGUUCAAUUGAACUGCCACCGCCAAAUCCCUACCUCUAUACAUUCAACUGUAUGACUUGAAGUCGUAUAGUUCUUCCCAAGAGCAUUUCCUUCGUCUGCUUGUAAUGUAUUGAUCCAAUGGACUUCGGCUCUUGACCGCAACAUGAAAGUUGCCUCAUUUUGUGCCACAAUCAUCGCCUCAUCAAUUGUUGAUUGAACUAGUAACCUCAUAGCUUGAUUGACUCACUUUGCCCUCAAUCAUGUCAUCGGUCCACCUUUGAUAAUCAAUGGAUCUUAUCCUAGGAUCGUCUUUGUUGAGCUCGGCUCUUGGAUCACAUCAUAUAUACUUUUACCAAAGCCCUCCUCCCUACUGCAUCAGUCCCCAUGCACUUUGGCAGAAAUUGGGCAUAUUAACUUAAAUUACCACCAGAAACAGGCACAUCAAUAUCCAAAUUUAUAUCAUUCUCCAGUACUACUUGGGUUUCCAUAAGUAAGCUAUAUUCAUUAACCAGUAAUUUAUCUUCAGCAUACUCAUCGUACACAGCCUCCACUGACUAGGUUUCGACAACUUCCAUAUCACCAUCUAAUACAUGAACCUGCCCUCGUGAACCAUUUUUACCGUUCUAAAUCCUCAAUAUCAAAAACAGCCAUUUCACCUCCAUUUUCCAUUUUACCUUUCACCAUUGGAAUUUCCAUAUACACCGCUUCAUCUCUGUCCGCAACAGAACAUUUGUAAUGAUUGAACUGAUCUUUGGAGACUAAUUUAGCCCCAGUCAUUUUGGUCAACAUUGAAAUCAUCACUUUAUUUGUUCUGUUCAUUUCUCCCAUCAAUUGCUCCAUCCUGUCUUGCUUAGCACAGACCCCUUUCAACAUUUGAUCCUAUGUAUUUACAGUCACAUUAAGAAAUCCAAGUUACUUUUCAAACCUUUUAAAUUGUUCUACUUGAUUUUUGCCAUGAGUUCCCAUUCUCUUCCCAGCUCACCUACUGCUCUAAUACCAAAUUGUUGUGGCUGAACUUCAACUCUAAACCUGGGGCACAAUCAAACACAAUAAUAAACCAGAAAUUGAAUAAACUUAACACCCAAUUGAUUUACUUGUAACAAAGUGUUGAGUACAGUCAGAAUUUAAUAGAAAAUAAGAAAGUGGACUUGAAGAAGAAGAAGAUAAGAUCAGAGAGGAAAUUAAAAUCACGCACAGAAAUUCUAGCAACAAUAACACAGAUAUUGAAAGGGAAAUUCAAACCACAGUAUAUUAAUUGCAAUAACCAAGUAGAUUACAACACCUAGAAGAAAUUAAAGAGAUAAGAAACAGAUAAGAGAAGGAAGAGUCUAGAUAAAGAGAGAGAGAGUGAGAGAGUUCAGAGAAAGGGGUUUUCUUCACAAUAAUCGUUCACUACCCUCUCCCAAUUCCAUCUCUAGGUUAUAAUAGAAAACAAAAAGGUAAAAGAAAGACAAAAUAAGAAACUUGUUUAAAUUUUACAAUAAAUUAAAAUGACACUGUUUCUAAAUUUGAAUUUUAGGGAAAACCGUUGGCUGCAUUUCCUUCUUCUUCUUCUUCUUGUUUUGCUCUGAUCUUCCUCUUCUCUUUCUUUUUCCCCAUUCCAGCUGACCUCCUUGCUUCUUUUCAUAACACUGAACUGAUUAGAGAAUUUCAAUUUGGGGAAUUUGAAAGAUGAAAAAAUGUAAACAAAAAAGGGGAUCCUUUUAUAUGGGAAGGGAUGCAGGGAGAUGCAGAAAUGGCAGGGAAGAGGUGAUUUGACGAAAGGAAAAAAGAAGAAAAAAAGGGUAUAAAAAGUGAUGGACA